rnacentral:rRNA from 1 species
GGUUGACCUCGGAUCAGGUAGGGAUACCCGCUGAACUUAAGCAUAUCAAUAAGCGGAGGAAAAGAAACCAACAGGGAUUGCCCCAGUAACGGCGAGUGAAGCGGCAAGAGCUCAAAUUUGAAAGCUGGCCCCCCCGGGGUCCGCGUUGUAAUUUGCAGAGGAUGCUUCGGAUGCGGCCCCCGUCUAAGUGCCCUGGAAGGGGCCGUCAUAGAGGGUGAGAAUCCCGUCUGGGACGGGGUGUCCGCGUCCGUGUGAAGCUCCUUCGACGAGUCGAGUUGUUUGGGAAUGCAGCUCUAAAUGGGUGGUAAAUUUCAUCUAAAGCUAAAUACUGGCCGGAGACCGAUAGCGCACAAGUAGAGUGAUCGAAAGAUGAAAAGCACUUUGAAAAGAGAGUUAAACAGCACGUGAAAUUGUUGAAAGGGAAGCGUUUGCGACCAGACUCGCCCGCGGGGUUCAGCCGGCACUCGUGCCGGUGUACUUCCCCGCGGGCGGGCCAGCGUCGGUUUGGGCGGCCGGUCAAAGGCCCUCGGAAUGUGUCACCCCCCGGGGUGUCUUAUAGCCGAGGGUGCAAUGCGGCCUGCCCGGACCGAGGAACGCGCUCCGGCUCGGACGCUGGCGUAAUGGUCGCAAAUGACC